UCCAACAAGCUACUAGAAUCCCAUAUUCAUCAACAAAUACAUUAUUUAUUUUUGGGUCUUGCAGUUACAUUAUUACUAUGAAUUAUCUUUUUUGGUCACUGUGUGUAAGUGCACUGGUCGAUCAAUUGUAGAUUGGAUAACGUUUAGCCUCCGUGUCCUUUUUGCAAUUCAGCAAGCAGUCAUUCAAAGUCGGCCAGCACAUGCGAUCCUUGUCACAACAGAAUGCUCCCUGGCGGCGGGAUGAAUCUAGAAAACAACCAGUAUUUGUGUCAUGGCGGAUGGUUACGCUGGUUUCCCCAUUAUUCAUCUGGUUACUCCUGAUGUCAUCUUUGCUUCGACCUAAUAAAGAACAAAAGGGACACAUAGAUCCUUUCAACAUAAUAAAGAAAAUAAUGGAACAACAUGCUUAUAGAUCUUGAAGAAAAGAGAGCUAGAGUGUUCAUCUGUUACCACAUAUGCAUGCAGGAAUGACCGAAGAUACAAGGACUAAGGAAAGUAGCAGGAGUGCUUUCCUUGUGGCCUUCAUGAAUAUCGCCAGAUGACUAGUUUUGUUUAUGUAUUAUUGGUCUGAAUUUUGUAUUGAUACUCGACGAGCUGUAGCUA
rnacentral:lncRNA from 1 species